rnacentral:rRNA from 1 species
UACGUAGGUCCCGAGCGUUGUCCGGAUUUAUUGGGCGUAAAGCGAGCGCAGGUGGUUUAUUAAGUCUGGUGUAAAAGGCAGUGGCUCACCAUUGUAUGCAUUGGAAACUGGUAGACUUGAGUGCAGGAGAGGAGAGCGGAAUUCCAUGUGUAGCGGUGAAAUGCGUAGAUAUAUGGAGGAACACCGGUGGCGAAAGCGGCUCUCUGGCCUGUAACUGACACUGAGGCUCGAAAGCGUGGGGAGCAAACAGG